rnacentral:rRNA from 1 species
GUAGGUGGCAAGCGUUGUCCGGAAUUAUUGGGCGUAAAGCGCGCGCAGGCGGUUCUUUAAGUCUGAUGUGAUAGCCCACGGCUCAACCGUGGAGGGUCAUUGGAAACUGGAGAACUUGAGUACAGAAGAGGAAAGCGGAAUUCCACGUGUAGCGGUGAAAUGCGUAGAGAUGUGGAGGAACACCAGUGGCGAAGGCGGCUUUCUGGUCUGUAACUGACGCUGAGGCGCGAAAGCGUGGGGAGCAAACAGGAUUAGAUACCCUGGUAGUCCACGCCGUAAACGAUGAGUGCUAAGUGUUAGGGGGUUUCCGCCCCCCUUAGUGCUGCAGCUAACGCAUUAAGCACUCCGCCUGGGAGUACGGCCGCAAGGCUG